rnacentral:rRNA from 1 species
GACGGGGGGGGCAAGUGUUCUUCGGAAUGACUGGGCGUAAAGCGCACGCAGGCGGUUGAUUGAGUCAGAUGUGAAAUCCCCGGGCUUAACCCGGGAAUUGCAUCUGAUACUGGUCAGCUAGAGUCUUGUAGGGGGGGGUAGAAUUCCAUGUGUAGCGGUGAAAUGCGUAGAGAUGUGGAGGAAUACCGGUGGCGAAGGCGGCCCCCUGGACAAAGACUGACGCUCAGGUGCGAAAGCGUGGGGAGCAAACAGG